UACGUAGGGUGCGAGCGUUGUCCGGAAUUACUGGGCGGAAAGAGCUCGUAGGUGGUUUGUCGCGUUGUUCGUGAAAACUCACAGCUCAACUGUGGGCGUGCGGGCGAUACGGGCAGACUAGAGUACUGCAGGGGAGACUGGAAUUCCUGGUGUAGCGGUGGAAUGCGCAGAUAUCAGGAGGAACACCGGUGGCGAAGGCGGGUCUCUGGGCAGUAACUGACGCUGAGGAGCGAAAGCGUGGGGAGCGAACAGG
rnacentral:rRNA from 1 species